UCAAUUAAGAAGCAUCUUGCGUAGUAUUAAUCAAAGGAAAAUUAUUUUCACGAAUUCGGAUCGAAUUCAUGCGAUAAAGGCAC